GGGGGGGGCAAGCGUUGUUCGGAAUUACUGGGCGUAAAGGGCUCGUAGGCGGCCAACUAAGUCGGAUGUGAAAUCCCCAGGCUUAACCUGGGAACUGCAUCCGAUACUGGAUGGCUUGAAUCCGGGAGAGGGAUGCAGAAUUCCAGGUGUAGCGGUGAAAUGCGUAGAUAUCUGGAGGAACACCGGUGGCGAAGGCGGCAUCCUGGACCAACACUGACGCUGAGGAGCGAAAGCCAGGGGAGCAAACGGGAUUAGAUACCCCGGUAGUCCUGGCCCUAAACGAUGAAUGCUUGGUGUGGCGGGUAUCGAUCCCUGCCGUGCCGAAGCUAACGCAUUAAGCAUUCCGCCUGGGGAGUACGGUCGCAAGGCUG
rnacentral:rRNA from 1 species